rnacentral:rRNA from 1 species
UACGUAGGGUGCAAGCGUUGUCCGGAAUUAUUGGGCGUAAAGAGCUCGUAGGCGGUUUGUCGCGUCGGACGUGAAAAUCCAGGGCUUAACCCUGGACCUGCGUUCGAUACGGGCAGACUAGAGUUCGGUAGGGGAGACUGGAAUUCCUGGUGUAGCGGUGAAAUGCGCAGAUAUCAGGAGGAACACCGGUGGCGAAGGCGGGUCUCUGGGCAGUAACUGACGCUGAGGAGCGAAAGCGUGGGGAGCGAACAGG